rnacentral:lncRNA from 1 species
CAGCGACAAAGCCUGUGGCACUUCCUCUACCCGCCUGGCAGGCCGCCUGGCCCGGCCCCUUCUCUAAGGAAGCGCAUUUCCUGCCUCCCUGGGCCGGGCUGGAUGAGCCGCAGCUCCGCACAGCGAGGGUCAGACCCCAGCUUCCACCCGCGCCGCGUCCCCGGCCAGGCCUGCUGCUGUCCACGCGAGGCCAGCACCCUCUCCCCGCCACCGGUCGGCCAGGAGCCCCGGCCCGGUCUUAAUUCUCUUGUCCACUUCUCCUGCCCCUUGGCCACCACCCAGAAGGCUGGAGCAGGGACGUCGUUGCUCCGGCCGCCUGCUCCCCUCGGGUCCCCGUGCGAGCCCACGCCGGCCCCGGCGCCCACCUGCAGCCCUGCCCCUGGACACUGGAUAAGGCCCAGCGCACAGACUCCCGGGUGGACAGCAUGGACCGCGGAACGCUCCCCCUGGUCACUGCCCUGCUGCUGGCCGCCUGCAGUUUCGGCCCCACAAGUCUGGCGGAAAGUGUCCACUGUGACCUACAGCCUGUGGACCCCCAGAGGGGAGAGGUGACAUACACCACCAGCCAGGUGUCUGAGGGCUGCGUGGCACACAAUCCCAACGCUCUUCUUGAAGUCCACGUCCUCUUCCUGGAGUUCCCGAAUGAGUUGGCAAAGUUGGAGCUGACCCUCCAGGCCUCCAAGCAAAAUGGCACCCGGCAUCGGGAAGUGCUUCUGGUUCUCGUGGCGAACAAGAGCGUCUUGCUGCAGCUCCAGGCUCUGGGAAUCCCACUCCACUUGGCCUACAACCCCAAACUGGUCAUCUGCCAAGAGCUCUGGGGAGCCAACCACACAGAGCUGCCAUCCUUUACCGCCAAGAGCCAGAUCCUUGACUGGGCGGCUACAAAGGGCCCCAUCACCUCAGCUGCAGCGCUGGAGGACCCCAGCAGUGUCCUGCUGCGGCUGGGCCAAGGUCAGCUUCCCCUGCAGCCACUCUGGGCUCCGUCCAGCUCUGGAGGAAUCUGAGCACCUCUGAUCCAUUCCUCAGACUAAGGCGCGAAAGAUCCCGAGCGGGAUAUGAUUUGCCCUGGGCCACCCACA